CUGGGGAGGCCUCAGUGUCUCCUCUCCUUCGGGAGAACGGAAGGACGCCUGCGGCCUACGUGGAUUCUUUAUUACUGAAACACCCGGGAAGCCCCAAAUUUUAAGAUGAACCUACUGCAAAAAUGAGAGCCUGCUACAUUCUAUUUUAAAGUCACUUAGGCAUGUCCGACUCUGCGACCCCAUGGACUGCAGCACGCCAGGCUUCGCUAUC